rnacentral:sRNA from 1 species
GCGUUAGUUACGGAUGCCUCUGAUUC